rnacentral:misc_RNA from 1 species
UAGAACAAUGCAAUUUCUAAAAACAAAAAUUUUACAUUUUCUUGUGCGUACAUUUUGUUAUUAUCAGAUGUCUACCAACAAGCGAAAAAAAAAUAACAUUGGCGUUAAGAAAUAUAUUUUCGUGAUUAUUUAAUAAAAAAAUCCACAUCAACGACAGCAAUAUCAAUAGCAUUGAAUAAUUACAUAAAUAUAUACCUUACUACAACACCCAGCAAAACGAGUCCAAACACACAAAAAGACAUAUUUCUUACACAAGACGUGUUCCUAAAUCAAGACGUUUUCGUGAACGAAGAUAAAUUAGAAUUAGAAAUACUAGGGCACAGUACCACCCUGGCACCUGAAGACAAAAAAGAAAGAGAUAGAAUGCAAAACAAUAAAGAACUAAGCGACAACCAAAUGCUAUAAAAGAAGUUCAAUACUUCCCCAAUACAGUUGUUUAUCACAUACACAUCUUAGACUAAAAACUUCAUGACCAGUCUUUGAAAGCACGAUUCAGGGUCGCGAGGCAGCUCCAGAAAAAGUUAUAAAAAAAAAUAAUAGCAAACGUAUACUUGAAAAGCUUCAAUAAAGUUCAAAAAAAAAGGACAUCUAAUAACUCUACGUCAGACCAAGUAGUCAAGAUGAACGAUGCUAUCAACAGUGUUGAUGAACCAUUCAAAUUUUCAACGGUUUCUGAAGAAGAAGAUAAUAUUCGGGAUUAAGAGGCAAUCCAACUCGGUGAACAAGCAGUUGAAAAUGACCUCGCUUUGUAGAAAAGAGUUUUAUCCAAAGUCGAGCGCAUUCGAGUGAGACUUAGUAGACCACCUUAAAAUCUGACAUUUUUUCUUAGAGAUUCAAAAAACAAAAAAAGUUUUUACCUUCGAGUGGAAUUGCCAAAGCAUUUGUUUGUUUACCCUGUUCUAUUUUCGCACAAAAGCUUUUCCUCUUGACGUCGAAUGCCGUAUUUAAAGAUAAUUUGUGAAAACUAGGAGAAAAGAUUAAAAGCCACCAGUCUAAUGUUCAGUACAAACAUCAUUAAAUCGUCUGGAAAUCAGCUUUUAAAACCUUAAAAAUUCAGACCGGGAUCUAUUUAAAACUUGAAAUAUCAAUAAGAAAUGAGGUAUCUAAGUGGUUCAUCAAACAUGUUGGACGAGGAUGAUAAUAGUAAUUUUUUAGCCUUUCUUGAGCUUUUGGAGAAAAACAAUUAGACACCUUAGUUACAUUUAGAAGACGUUUCUUGACACCAAAACAAGGAACAAGGAUGCAAGCACACAGUUUGAGCUUGGAAAUUCAAAAUGAGUUUAUUAAAAAAAUUUCUUUGCUGCUAUUGUUAAAGAGAUCCAUACAGCCAUUUAGUUUUCCGUUAUUGUUGAUGGAACUCCGGAUUUGUUUCAUACGGAAAAAACUACUUUUUUUCUUCAAUUUGUCCGCCUAGGAUCUGACAAUCAAUGGAUAGUUAAUCAAUGGAUAGACAAUCAAUGGAUAGUAAAAGUUUUCUGAAGGUAGAAAAUCUGGAGAGAAAAAUCUGAUAUUGGAUUAAAGCUGAGUUAAUUUAAGGUACUGUUGAGGCCAAGGCUAUGAUAACGGAGCCAAAAUGUUCGGUUUAUAUAAAGGAGUGCAGGCCAUCAUUCUCAAUUUUUUUAAAGGUUUUUAAAGACUCUAAUCUAUGAUCUUGAUCGACUACGUUCUUUUUAGUCCCAAAUCCUUUAAGAAGCAAAACUAAUUGCAUCUGGGUUAAUUUCGUUUGGGUUCCAAAAUGAUUUUUUUAAGAAUACGACAAGGAAAAUAAAAACACUUUACAACGAGUCGAUGAAAACAGUCCACUUUCACGAAGACGAACCAAAGGAUUUUGAGGUGAACGUAUUUAAUGUUGCUCUUGACACGCUACUCCAGCAGAUAAGAAGCAGAAUGGAUAUAUCUCAAAAGACAACAGUUUUGUUUUUUGUUCAUUUGGUGGUCUCUAUCUCCUUCUAGUGAUAAAGAAACAUUUAUUCAGAAAGAAAAAUACAAAUACCUCUACGUAAAUGAUAUAAAAGAAAAAGAGUUAAUUAAAGAAAUCUGUUAUCUAGAUGUUCUCAAACGAUUAAAUUCUUUUGGACAAAGAGAAUCCUUUUCUUUUAUCAAGUAGGUUAACAGAAUCUACCAGAAAGGUCUUCAGUGAAUAUUUCCUUCCAUCUACAUUUUGAUUUACAUUUUUAAUACAAUCUUGGCUUUAGUGGCUGAAAGACAACGCUUGCUCUCAUCAAAUUCAAAUUGCAAUUAACUAUGAAUUAAAAACGCCUUACUAAUCUUAUGAUAGUUUUAAACGAAAACGACCUUGACAACAAUUCUUUAAAUUAUGUGAUAAUUUCUAAACAUCUUAAGAUAUCAAAAGUUAUUCCUGUAUUCAAAAAGCUCAGACAGUUUUAUGGCUUCUAACUAUAAUUUUUUACAUGUUAAGAGUAUGUGUUUAUAUAUUUAUGAACUACAUA